UCGCUCGAGGGGGCGGCCGAGGUCUUGGGAGACAAGUGCAUCAUCGACCGCCUUGACAGCCGCACCCACGAGCGCGGGCACACGAAGACAUUUGCAUGUUGGGUGUGGGUGUCGGAUGUGGCGUUCAUCCCCACCCGGCACACCAUCUGGAGGGUGGCGCGAGGCGCUGGCCGUGUGGAGGCCAUGCUGGGCUAUUCGCCGCCGAGCCGGGAGGUGGCGCCGCCGCCGCGCGUUCGGCGCCAUGACAUGCUCAUCCACGUCGAUCGCGUCGAGGAUUGGUCGCCUCUCUCGCCGCGCUCGUCGCAGAGCGGCCUACCCUCGUCGGAGUCGGAUGACGCGCGCUCGGUCCCGUCCAUCUGGCCGGGCACGUGGACCAUGCACGUCGAGGACGGCCAAGGCACCCGGCGCCACCCGGCCCUGGUGGCUCCGUCGGGCUGCGGCAGCGUGCGCCAAGGCGGGCCCCGCGACCGCGACGACCACGACACUGACAAGGCCGGGUGGCGCUCCUGGAAGGACGCUCUCCUGGGCUGCAAGCAGACUGGCGGCACGGUGCAGCCCCGUAGGGAGCCUGCAAGCUCAAGCCGCCAGAGGAGCCGGACGCCAAUCAGUCGCCGAAACAGGACCGGUGGGGGGACCUCCGGCGGUCGGCCGGAGCCUGUCGUUCUCAAGGCCAUGCCCCCUCUGCCCCUGGCCCCGCGUGAGCCGGCUGUCGCUGUUGUGGUCGCUACCGCGGGGCAGGACCCAGUGGCCGAGUUCUUCCGCGACGCCGACCCCGUCCUCCCCCCGCCACCCCGCGUGGAAGAUGCGCAGUUGUAG
rnacentral:rRNA from 1 species